GCCGGUAUAGUAUAAUGGCUAGUAUACCACGUUGUGGCCGUGAUGAUGCAGGUUCGAUUCCUGCUACCGGCA